AACGCACAUUGCGCCCGCCAGUAUUCUGGCGGGCAUGCCUGUUCGAGCGUCAUUUCAACCCUCAAGCCCCCCCGGGGGCUCGGUGUUGGGGGACGGCCCGGCCCUCGCGGCCUGCCGCCCCCGAAAUGCAGUGGCGACCCCGCCGCAGCCUCCCCUGCGUAGUAGCUAUACAAUUGGAAACCUCGCACCGGAGAGCGGCGCUGCUCAGCCGUGAAACCCCAACUUCUGAAAGGUUGACCUCGGAUCAGGUAGGACUACCCGCUGAACUUAA
rnacentral:misc_RNA from 1 species